AACGUUCCCUCUCUUGUCACCAGGGCACAUAAACUCGUCAGGAGGAGUUGGCCUUCGGGGAGGGUGUCGGGCUCAUGUAAACAAGAUCACCGUACGAAGCCGCUCCCCCUGCUAUCACCGUUUCCGUUGCCGGAAAGUUCUGCCCGAACGUGGCUUGAAACAGGACGAUUCUAUGACGGCGGUUCUCUUUUUCGAAUCUCUGGAUAUUGCGUCGCGGAUUCCGUAUAGAAACAGCUUGUUGCACAAUGAAACACCUCCUCCUCAUCCUAGGAACGGGUCACAGUGGAUCAGAAGGCAAAAUGUGAAGACGAUGAAGCAUGGAAGUGACUGUCGACAAAAACACGCCCGAACGGGGACUCGAACCCCGGACCGUUAGGUUAAAAGCCUAACGCUCUACCGACUGAGCUAUCCGGGCUCCCAUUCCAGCAAUCCAUGUACAAUACAAACAAAUAUUUAAACCGCACGUGUAUAACACAUAGAUGUGGUGCAUUUGAAUGUACUUCGUAGCUCACCAUAUCACAUGCCUGCGUUCUCUCUUUCGAAUUGAUGCAUGCGCGAGAGCUUUUUUUUUUUGUGUGUGUGUACUUUUUACUGCACGUUCGAAUUCGUUCUAAGGAUCUUGUUGUCGUUUCUCUCUUGACACAUAUAAUCACAAAACGCCUCUAUUUUCUCUAUUGGCGCCUUCGACAUUGUCGGGCAAUCACUGAUGUUUCAUAGUCCGUAGCUAAUUUGAUCUCCUUCCACCACUUCUCUGCAUCGUGCUUUCCUUCUGCGGCACUGAAGGUCCAGAGCAACAUUUCCCACAAGUAAUCCCAGGCUGGCUUCCCCAUAUGGCAGCACUGUUCAUGUCAGUUGGUUCAAGUGCAAUCCCUAGACGAACACUGAGCACCGGAAUUUAUUUCUGUUUGUGUCUCUUUUACAUGUACAGGGUGUGUGCAGAAAAACAUGACCCGCAUUUUUACAUGUAA